UACGUAGGGGGCAAGCGUUGUCCGGAUUUAUUGGGCGUAAAGAGCGUGUAGGCGGCCUUACAGGUCAGCUGUGAAAACUCGAGGCUCAACCUCGAGACGUCGGUUGAAACCGUAUGGCUAGAGUCCGGAAGAGGAGAGUGGAAUUCCCGGUGUAGCGGUGAAAUGCGCAGAUAUCGGGAAGAACACCCGUGGCGAAGGCGGCUCACUGGCCCGGUACUGACGCUGAGGUGCGAAAGCGUGGGGAGCAAACAGG
rnacentral:rRNA from 1 species